rnacentral:rRNA from 1 species
GACGAGGGAGGGCGUAGUGUUCGGUGAAUUACUGGGCGUAAAGCGCACGUAGGCGGCUUUGCAAGUCAGAGGUGAAAGCCCGGGGCUCAACCCCGGAAUUGCCUUUGAGACUGCAUCGCUAGAAUUGUGGAGAGGUAAGUGGAAUUCCGAGUGUAGAGGUGAAAUGCGUAGAUAUCGGGAGGAACACCAGUGGCGAAGGCGACUACCUGGCCUGUUCUUGACGCUGAGGCGCGAAAGCUAGGGGAGCAAACGGGG